rnacentral:rRNA from 1 species
UACUAGAGUAGCACUCGCAUAUCAAUAAGCGGAGGAAAAGAAACUAACAAGGAUUCCCCUAGUAACGGCGAGUGAAGCGGGAAGAGCUCAAAUUUGAAAUCUUAAAGGGUUUCCCUUUACGAAUUGUAGUUUAAAGAAGUGUUUUCCGUUGAGGUUUUGGUAAAAGUUCUUUGGAAUAGGACAUCAUAGAGGGUGAGAAUCCCGUAUUUGACCUUUACUUUCAACUUUGUGAUACACUUUCAAAGAGUCGGAUUGUUUGGGAAUGCAGUCCAAAAUGGGUGGUAAAUUUCAUCUAAAGCUAAAUAUUGGCGAGAGACCGAUAGCGAACAAGUACCGUGAGGGAAAGAUGAAAAGAACUUUGAAAAGAGAGUUAAACAGUACGUGAAAUUGUCAAAAGGGAAGCGUUUGACACCAGUGUUGUUUUUCUGAAAAUCAAUUAAAGAACUGUUUAUGCUAAGUUGUUUAGACUUUAUCAGCUAUCUGUUUAGUUUUGAGCUUUUCUUUAAUGCACUUUUCAGUUAACAAGUCAACAUCAAUUUCUUUUGCUGUAAAAAGGCUUGAGGAAGGUGGCUUGAGAUUCGUCUUAAGUGUUUAUAGCCUCUUGCCUAUGCAGUCGGAGAGAUUGAGGUCUGCAGCGUAGAUCCUUCGGGGCUAAAUGCAUUUGUGCUAAGUUAUAGCAUUUUAUAGACAACUUGUUGACUAUGAUUUGUCUCGUAGCUUACUCGCUUAUGUUAUUUUACCUACGCUUAGGAUGUUGAGUAGCGACAUACGCAC